AUUGAACGCUGGCGGCAUGCCUUACACAUGCAAGUCGAACGGCAGCGGACCUUCGGGUGCCGGCGAGUGGCGAACGGGUGAGUAAUAUAUCGGAACGUACCUUUCAGUGGGGGAUAACGUAGCGAAAGUUACGCUAAUACCGCAUAUUCUGUGAGCAGGAAAGCAGGGGAUCGCAAGACCUUGCGCUGAUUGAGCGGCCGAUAUCAGAUUAGCUAGUUGGUGAGGUAAAGGCUCACCAAGGCGACGAUCUGUAGCGGGUCUGAGAGGAUGAUCCGCCACACUGGAACUGAGACACGGUCCAGACUCCUACGGGAGGCAGCAGUGGGGAAUUUUGGACAAUGGGCGCAAGCCUGAUCCAGCCAUGCCGCGUGGGUGAAGAAGGCCU
rnacentral:rRNA from 1 species